GAUAAACGCUGGCGGCGCACAUAAGACAUGCAAGUCGAACGAACUUAAUUGAGAGCUUGCUCUCAAAGCGGUUAGUGGCGGACUGGUGAGUAACACGUAAGCAACCUGCCUAUUAGAGGGGAAUAACAGCGAGAAAUCGUUGCUAAUACCGCAUAUGCUGCGAGUAUCGCAUGAUACAAGCAGGAAAGGAGCAAUCCGCUAAUAGAUGGGCUUGCGUCUGAUUAGUUAGUUGGUGGGGUAACGGCCUACCAAGACGAUGAUCAGUAGCCGGACUGAGAGGUUGAACGGCCACAUUGGGACUGAGAUACGGCCCAGACUCCUACGGGAGGCAGCAGUCGGGAAUAUUGCGCAAUGGAGGAAACUCUGACGCAGUGACGCCGCGUGCAGGAAGAAGGUUUUCGGAUUGUAAACUGCUUUUAACAGGAAAGAAAAAAANGACGGUNCC
rnacentral:rRNA from 1 species